CGGAAUCGCACGUCGACGGGAAGAGUAUCGCCGGAACUAUUAUAAUUACCGCCGGUCGCAUAGAUUAUUCGUUGGAAACAACGCGUCGUGAGAGGAGAGGAAAUUCGAAAAAAAGAAGAAAAAAAUUAGAAACACCGAUUCACUUUUUUUUUGGGGGUUAUUUUAAUUGAUUUGUGUGAAUUAAAUAUUCUGCGAUGGAUGUGAUUGGAUAGAAGGAAACAAAAAGGAAAGGAGGAAGAUAAAAGAGAAGGCGAAUUAUUCUGCUCCUCUCUCUCUCUCUCUCUCUUUCUUCUCUGUCGAACAUCGCUGUUGCUGCUGUGUGUUUUCUUCGUGCAUCCUUUUAUUUUUCAAGGUAAUGAAUUUCACGAGAUCCAUUCUUCACAAGUUUCUUUCUUUUUUUAAAUUUAAUUUAAUUUAGUGGAAAAAAUGUUUGGGAGGAAGCGUAAUUGUGUUUGUUUGUAAAUUAGGUAAGCUCUUUGUAUUUGUUUUUUUAUUUGCUGGUGAGUAAUUUAGGUUUAUUUUCUUAAAUUAAGUUAAACUGGGUGCCCAAGUUUGUGAAUUAGGUAGGAGUUGGUUCCCUGUUUGCAUAUAAUGAGCUGAACAAGGAUCAUGAAUUAGGCGAAAUUGUAGUCUCUUAUGGCUUUUUGAAAUACCUAAUCUUUGUCUUCCAGGUGUUUCUACUCCGCUUUAAAGGAGAGAGGUUUAAGAUGAUUUUUUUCGUAUUGAACUUCUUCUUAGAGUACGUAAAGUUGCUGACUUUGUUUGGAUUUAGGGUUUGAUUUUGCUUAGUUCUAAUUGAAUUCUUGUGUUGUUUUUUUUUGUGUCCUUUGAGUUAUUUUGCUUAAUCUUUUUUGUCUGGCAAGAUCCUUCUUUGCAAUGAAUAGUGGAUUUUGUUUCUUUUGGAGACUUACUGGCUUUGAAUCUAAAACUGGUUGUUCAUCUUUCAGGGGAAGUGAUAUGGUCCGUUGAAAAAGACUAAAAAGCUACAAAAGAGAUUUUGUUUUAUUAUUCCAAAUUUUGCUGUCAUCUGCAUGAUGCCGUCUGAUAUAAUGGAACAGAGAGGUGUAUCAACACCUUCCCACUUUCGUGAAGAUACUCGUAUUAGUUCAGAGGUAACUUUUUCUUUUACUGUGUAGCACCAUCUUUGUCACAUUAUCUGCCACUAUUUUCUAUGAUGUUUAAAACUGUUUUCUUUUUGUUUCUCAAGUAUACUUGUUCUUUUGUCUGGCAGAGGCAAUUUGGGUUUCUGAAAACAGACCUGAUGCCUGAAAACCAAGGUGGUCGUGAUAGAUUUUCAAAUCUGCCAAAGAGUUCCUGGACACCUGAAAGUCACCAGCUGAAGCCAGUAUCAAUAACAUUAAAGCAAAAUAUUAUACAAAAAAUUAAAAUGCACAUUUAAUACAACUUAUAAAGCAAAAUACACAAAGGAUAAAAUUAUAUGAAAACAAAAUUAUUACAUCAAUUAAUAAAAGUACACGAUUUCAACAAUUUUAGCUUGUAAGCUACAAGUAAAAAAAAAAAAAAAAGUUGGCUAUUAUUUCAAAAUGCAUGUAAUAUGCUAGUAAAAUGUAUUAUCUUACUAAUAGUAAUUAAUAUUCUUUUCGUUCCACAAAUAUAAUUUUUUUAGUAUUUUCACACAUAUUAAGAAAACACGCUAAACUACCAUAAUAAAUGUAUUGUUUUAUGUAAUUUUCAAUUUUCAAUAACUUUUAACCAAUAGUAAUUCAAUAAAGUCAAUUAAUUUCUUUGAAAUUUACAAAUUUUUCAUAGAAAACACAAAAAUACAUAUUUGUGAAACAAACUUUUUCAAAAAAGUCUAUCUUGAUGAAACGGAUGGAGUAUUAUGUAUAAUAUUUUUAUUAUAUAUUUUAUUGCUAAAUAAAAAUUUUAUGACUUUUGUUUACUUUUUCACCAAUAAAAGACUAUAAUGCAAAAUGUAAAAUAUUUAAAGUUUAAUUUGAAGUUGUUAUUUCGGAAAUAAUCACCUUCGAAGUUUAAAUUUGUAAUAUUGCAAACUUUAUUUGGAGAUGUUUUCACGGUCGACUUGCUACAUGACUCUUUUUUUUUUGUAGCAUGCUACAUGACCCUCUAUUCUUUUUUUUCCCCUAUUUAUUGUUACUUUACAAUUGAAAUAAUAAGGCAAAAUACAAUAGUGGAUGACUUUUUUCCCCAUACCACCUUUUUCGGUUUUCUCUAUUUGGUUGUUCGAACCUGCACAUGCUCAUUUGAUAGCGUGGAAGGAUUGGCCAUCAAACAAAUAAAAAUUCACAAUCAAGGAUAUUUAUUAUCAGUUUUUGUUGUUGUGCACUUCAUUGUAAAAUAAAAAAAAUCCAAACACGGAUGAUAACAACCGUGGAUCACGAGUAAACUAAUUCACUCAGUCAUAAAAAGAAAGAGAUAUAGUGAGCAAAAAAUCAUUUUAAGAUAGUAUUGAUCCAACCAACCAAACAUUAUCUUCAAAAAUUACAAUGUUUUUACGACAGUUGAUAAAAAAAAAGCUUAUUUAGUAAACAUAAAAACUAUGGAGUAGUUUUUUUUGUAAACACAAACUAUAGUUUCAGACUUUGUUUUGUAUUCUUUCAACAAAGAGUGUAACUAUAAAAACAUUCUUAUCAACUUUUCGCUCAAGUUGUUACAGAAAAAAACUUAAUCAAGAAUUAAAAUGACACUUAUAAAAUUAUCAAUAUAAUAAAAUUAUUAAUUUAUAGAGGUUAUAUCAAUUAAAAACUAACAACUUUUAUUCGUGUUUUCAUUCAUAUAUAAUAGUAAAGUGUAAUUUCCUAACUUCAUUUGAACAUAUUCUAAUAAAUAGUUUGUAGAUUAAAAACAAAUCACACUUUGAAAAGAAAAAAAAAUCAAAUAGUCCACAUGUUCAAUAAAUAGGCUGCUCCUUGGUUACAAAACCGCGCUCAUCGACUGCUCGCUGCCGUCGAGACUCUCGUGUGAGACCGUAAUUUUUGUCAGUUUUAGUUAUAAUCUACGGUCCAGAUUUAAUAUCGUACGAAACCACUAGAUCCACGAUACAUCCAACACAGAAGAGUGCUCUCCUCUCCUCAACUCUAUUUUGUUUUUUUCCUCUCAUUCUUUUUUUAGUCGAAACUCUAAACCAACUAACCGAAAAAAACAAAAAACUCUUUCUCUCCUCUCCAUUUCUCUCUCUAGGAGAGACAACCGGAAUCGCACGUCGACGGGAAGAGUAUCGCCGGAACUAUUAUAAUUACCGCCGGUCGCAUAGAUUAUUCGUUGGAAACAACGCGUCGUGAGAGGAGAGGAAAUUCGAAAAAAAGAAGAAAAAAAUUAGAAACACCGAUUCACUUUUUUUUUGGGGGUUAUUUUAAUUGAUUUGUGUGAAUUAAAUAUUCUGCGAUGGAUGUGAUUGGAUAGAAGGAAACAAAAAGGAAAGGAGGAAGAUAAAAGAGAAGGCGA
rnacentral:lncRNA from 1 species